rnacentral:misc_RNA from 1 species
AAUUAUAUGUAGACGUCCUUGACCAAUCGGAGACGUCGUUACAUGAGAACAUCCUGUUGUUGUUAUGGUCGGUUAAGGUGUAAGUUGCAAGAAAGGAAAAUCGUCAGCGGGUUUUCUGUGAAUGAGGACUUGGAAAAGAUAUUUAUUUAACAAACUGCCAUGACAGAUACAUUGAAGGACCUUUUAAACAUUGUUAAUAAAGAGGAGGAGAAAUACUAUUUUUGGAAAAGUUUAUCAAAAGGAACGGUAGCAAAACAGUUAACUGUUGGAGCUGUAACUGGAUGGUGUUCCGGAAUAACUUUUGCUAAAGUUGGGAAAGUAGCUGCUGCAUCAAUUGGAGCAAGCCUUUUAUUAUUUCAAUUAGCUCAUCAUCAAGGAUAUAUAAAAGUUAAUUGGUCUUUAUUAAAUAAAGAUAUUGAAAAUGCUAAGAGAAUAUUGCUGAGACGUAAAAAAAGAGGAUUCAAUCGCAUAUAUGCAGAGGUUGAAGAAUUUUUGGAAGAAAAUAUUUUUCUAGCUACUGGCUUUACUGGAGGAUUUCUGCUUGGAAUUGCAACUAGUUAGACUGUGGUUUUUUAAAAUUUAGAAUGAACAAAAAAUAAUUUUUGUUGGUAUAUGUAUUUCUAGAUUAUUUACCCUGCACAAAUAGCAUCUUCUACUGAAUUUUAUUAAACGAGUACAUAUGCUGCAGAUUAUAUGUGAUCAUUCACAGUAUUAAUCUAUUGAUAUAAUUUUUGUAUAUUAUAUAUAGAGCUUCACACCUGUAUAGAGUUUUGCAAAAUGUUAUACACCAUUUUGGUACAUAACAAAAGUCUUCAUUUUUGAUUUUCUAUAUAAAAAAAAAUCAAGUUAUUCCAUAAAAUUAAGCUUUUUCUAUACCAGUGAAAAAUUUAUUAAUACCAAGCGGUAUGCAUUUUAAAAGUGUUAUGGUGAAUUUACUUUUUUUAUAUAUGAAUAUUGUUAAUUGCAAAUUGACUAAUAAAGGAAAGGAAUGUUACUGUAUUCAUAUUAAAAUCAAAAAUAUAAUUGCAGAUUAUGAAAUUGUAUUUUUGUAAUAAACUUUUCAGUUGGUGA